UACGGAGGGUGCAAACGUUGCUCGGAAUUACUGGGCGUAAAGGGCUCGUAGGCGGCCAACUAAGUCAGACGUGAAAUCCCUCGGCUUAACCGGGGAACUGCGUCUGAUACUGGAUGGCUUGAGUUUGGGAGAGGGAUGCGGAAUUCCAGGUGUAGCGGUGAAAUGCGUAGAUAUCUGGAGGAACACCGGUGGCGAAGGCGGCAUCCUGGACCAACACUGACGCUGAGUGAGCGAAAGCCAGGGGAGCAAACGGG
rnacentral:rRNA from 1 species